UCAGAUGGACUUCAACAAGUCCCAUAAACA
rnacentral:tRNA from 1 species